AAGUGUCUGUUUCUGUGAGAUGUUUCUGCCUCUGGGACAGGGACAGCAUGGGUUGUGGCUCAGCAUGAGCUCUUUGUGACGGUGCGUGCUGCGAGGCAGGGGCAGUGAUCCUGUGGUCCCAGGGGUCAGAAGCAAACACUCAGAGCGCUCUUUGCCACCGCGAUGAGGAAUGGUGGUCGUCCUGCCCUUGGCAGCAGGGCAGCCUGGAGUCUGCGGCCCCUCCAGCUGAGUCUUAUCACAGAGCCACUGGCGUGUCACCGCGUGUACAGAGUGCUGGAGGCCUCCGUGUGGAGUACCUGGUGUGUGAACCACCUCUCCAGCUUACUGUCCUUCAUCUAGCCUGAACCCUGGCCAGGCUCACACUCUAGACAGGCUGUGUGAAUAGAGCAGGAGAGCCCGUCCUAGUGGCUGUGACAUCAGCAGGGCCAAGGGAUUCUGCGUCAAGCAGAGUUCUUCACUGGGACGUGCCGGUUUCUGCAAGGAGGACAGUCCUUUCGGGAUGCGUGUGGACCCCCCUCCCUUCCCUCAGCACCCCACUGUUCCGGGCUUGCCUGAAGCUGACCUUGCUCCAGUCUCCUUGCAGACUGGAGUUAGGGCAGCUGUGCCUGUCCCCUGUGGCCAGGCUGCGACUGUGAUGCAAGCUCCUUGACAGCAAGAAGCUCCCGAAGCUAUUCUGGUGGUCACUACAUCGGCUCCAGGACCCCAGGGGGGACAGCGCUCUCCUUGAUGAGAAGGGGUUUCCCGUAGAAGGGAGAGCUGUCGUGGUGAGAAAGUCUCUUGGAUUCUCCAGUGACGAAGCUGUGACCGCAGACCAGAGACAGGGAAAACUUGACAUUUGGAGAACAGCCGGGGCAGGAGCUAUCCCCUGAGCUCCACGUGUAAGAGAAAAGACUGGACCCGGAUUCCAGGGAUUUGGAGUUGGCGAUCACCUCGAAGUGGCAGUGCUGGGAGCUGGGGAAGCCUGAGAAAGUCAUGCUUUACAGUGGCCACCCGUACAAUUUGUCAGCCACCAUUCUGAGGUACACUGGACUCCGGUUAUGACGGUGAUGAAAUGUGCAUAACAGAAUGUGCAUCCUCCACCCACCCACCUUUGGCAGCUGUCACUCCUUUCUGUCGCGAGUUUGACUGUUCCCAGACCUCACGUAAGUGGACUCACACACUACUUCCCUUUCUGACUGGUUACUUAGCGUAAUAUCCUCAGUGCUUAUCCGGAUUGAGUCAUAAAGGCCUUUUUCAGGCCUCUUGGCCUGUGUGCCACAUUUUGCCUAUCCACGAGUGGGUACAUAGAUUGCGUCCAUCUCUCCACUGUGUGUUACAUGGCUAUGAACAUAGCCGUACGGAUAUUUCUUCAUGUCCCUAUUUUUAAUUCUUUGAGUUCUAUCUCCAGAAGCAGGAUAAUUUGACCAUAGAGCGAUUAGUUUUUGUAUGGCAGGAUCCACCAUAUUGUUUCCCAUAAUGGCGUUUCAUAUUCUCACCAAGAGUGCAUGAGAUUUCCAAUUUUUCCACCUUCUUGCUGAACUUGUUUUCGGGUUUUUGUUUGAUUUUUAUAUAAUAGACAUCUGUGACUGUUAAGCUUAACUGUCAACAUGGCUUGGGAGCCCCCUAGGGGAUUAGUAAAAGUGCACUUCUGUGUGUGUCAGGGUGGCGAACGGAGGCUUGAUGCCAAGUGCUGUAUGUGGUCCCCUGCUCUGCUCCCUGGCUUCCACGAAUGGCUCGGCCUUCUUCCGCCGUGCCUUCCUGCCAUGCUCUUUCUGCUUUGAAGCCAGCAGUCUGCAGUGAAUCCUCUGAAACUGAACCAAAAUAUUUAACUUCUCUCAGUUGCGCGUGUUGGGAAUUUGAUUCCAGCAGUGGGAAAGCUGACAAAUACACCAUCUUAAUGCGUGUGAAGUGGUUUUGUUACUGCAUUUUGGGGUGCUGGAGUCUCCUCCUCGAAGUGGUAGCAAGGUUUUACAUUUAUUUAUUUUCCUUUUUAAAAUAUGAGUUCUGGAGUUUUGUUUGUUUUGGUACUGGGGAUCGAAUUUGGGACCUUGUGCUUGUGAGGCAGGCGGCGAAACCACUGAGCUAAAUCCCCGGCCCAGGAUUUUUUUUUUUUUUUUUCAAUUUUGUUGUUUCUUUGCCAUGCUGGGGGUUGAACCCAGGACCUUGUGCAUGCUAGAGUACUCUAUCACUGAGCUACUUCCUCAGCAGUUUUGCAUUUAUUAAAGGUAUGAAAAGAAACAUGCUAUACAGAGCAAGCUGGGACCAAGAAAAAGCAGAAAAGGAAGUACCCUCUGCAGUUUAAGCAUGGACUUUUGUGAAGAACACAGUUGCAAAGAGCCCAGUGGAGACCUGCCCACACUGCAGGCUGCCGUCAGGUCAAGGCUGUCCUGUAAGUCCACGUGCAAAGCCUGAGAGUGUACCGCGAGGGUCCUGGGAGUUUGUAAGUAACAGGUCCAUAUUUCCCCAGCCAGCUUUGCCACACCCUAGUCUCCUACCUCAGUUUCUCGCUGUGGUUUUGAUUUGCAUUUCCCCAGUGAUUAGUGACGUUGAACGGCUUUGCUACGUUCACUAGCCAAUUGUGAGUCUUCUUUGGAGAAAUGUCUACUGUUCCACAGUUUUGGAUUGGCUUGGAUAUUAAUCCCUUACAGAUAAAAUGAACAAAUAACUUGCUUGUUAUUUGCCUUUUCAUUCUGUUUAUAGUCUCCAGAUAGAUAAGUUAAUUUUUAUGUAGUUCAGUUUACUUUUAUGUUGCUUGUUUUUGGUGUCAUAUCUAGGACAUCCUUACCAAAUCCAGUGUCACAAAGCAUUUUUUAAGUUUUAUGUCUUUGAUCCAGUGAGUUAAUUUUUGUACAUGGUAUGAGGUAAGUGUCCAACACUACUCUUCUGCACAUACAUAUCCAGCUUUCCCAACACCAUUUAUUGAUGCCUGUCUUGUUAAAAAAGAAGAAAAAGGCCAUUGACACCCUUGUUGACAUCAAGUGUGUAUAUGAGGGUUUAUUUCUGGUUAUAUCGUAUUUUCUUAUUUAUCUCAAGGUGUUUUUCUGUUUUCCUUUAUGAUUACUUAUUUGACCCAUUGGUUGGUUGUUCAUUUUCACGUUUGUAGCCUUUCUAGUUUUCCUUCAUUUUAUGCUUUCUUGCUGUCUAGUGUCCUUUCAUUUCAACCUGAAGGACUCCCUUUAAAACAUUUCUUGUAGAGCAGGUCUAGUGGUCAUGAAUUCCCUUGGGUUUUUUUAAAAUCAGAAAAUGUCUUAAUUUUUCCCUCACUUGAAGAACAAUUUUGCCAGAUGUAGAAUUCUCAGUUGACAGUGUUUCAAGACUUUAAAUAGCUUAUUCUACUGCCUUUGGUCACCAGGGUUUCUGCUGAGAAAUGUGUUCUUUAUACAUGCUGACUUCUUUUGCUGCUUUCAAGAAUUUUUUUGUCUUGUAGCAGUUUGAUUAUAUGUCUUGGUCUGGGCUUAUCUUACUUGGAGCUUGUCAAGGUUCUUAGAUUUGUAGAUCCAUGUCCUUCUUCAAAUUGGGUGCAUUAUUUUCUCUGUUCUUCUGAGACUUCUGUAUGCAGAUAUGGUCCACUUGAUGUUGUCCCAGAAGUCUGUUGGGGUUUACUUUUCUCAUUUUUUUUUUGCUCCUACUUGACAAUUUCAAGUGAACUGUCGUCAGGAUCACUUGUUGGCUCUUCCUUCAAAAUGACUGGUUGCAGCGAGUGUGGUGGCACACUCCUGUAUUCUCAGCACUUGGGAGGCUGAGGCAGAAAGGAUUGCCAUGAGUUCAAGCCCAGCCUGGACUACAUAGCAAGACCCUGUUUCAAAAAAUAAAUGUUUUGUUUUUUUUAAAUCACUGAUUCCAGGUCUGCAGUUGAACCCCUCUAGUGAAUUUUUUCAAUUGUUAUAUUUUUCAGCUUCAGAAUUUCUGUAUUCUUCAGAAUUUCUUAUAAUUUUCAUUUGAUACUGGCAUUUUGUUCAUAUAUCGUUUUUCUGAUUCCUUUUAGCUCUUUGAGCAUUUUUAAGACUUUGUUUUUAAACUGACCAACUGUAUGUAUUAUGUGCAACAUGAUGUUUCGAAAUCGAUAUACACUGGAAUGACUAUAGUUACUAAGUCUAGUAAGUGUCUGUGUCUUUCUUAAGGGAUGAUUUCUGUAGAUAUAUUUUGGUCCUUUGAGUGGACCUUGUUUUCAAGUCUUCUGAUCUUCUGUUGAAAAUAGGUUACUUGAGAAAAUAGCCACCUCUCCCAGUCUUUGCAGUUUAGCUACCUGCAGGACAAGAGCUCACCGUAGUCUGAAGGGUGCUUUCUGGGCCUGUGUGUUGUUUAGUUUUUGUUUUGUUGUUCUGUACGCACAGCAGCUUUUAAAGGUCUUAGUACCCUUUACUGUUCAACCCCGUGUCUCAGGUCACGCUCCUCCGCUGUCUUCUCCAGUCGGUCAUCCCUGACCGCAGGCUCCCUUGGCUUGGUGUGUCGCAGUUUUUCAAGCUGUGCUUGCUGCUUCCCUCAUUUCCCCAGCCUGAGCUCUCAGCUGUGCUGCUUUUCACCAUUGGGCAACACAGGAAGGGGCCACACAGCUCAGACAUCGAAAAUUCAGUCUGCUUUGCUCUUUCUGAUCACCGGAGGGAACUGGGACUGGGUCACUGCUUUUGUGCCAGGCUAGGGAGGGGUGGACAUGUAAAAUGCAACCAGAUGUCGCAUUGUCUUGAACAGAUCUUUUUCUUCUGUGAGCACUUGCUUGGUUACGGUAGAUCUUCAGCUGCCUUCCACAGUUCUGAGAAGAAGGUAUUUUGGCCAGUCUCUAGUUGUUCAUCUGUGUUUCCAUGGAGAAACAUGCAAGAGCCUGCAAUUUCCUAGUCCACCAUGUACAUGGUGAUGUCAUUCUUUAGACAUUUUAAAUUUUUUACUGACUUACACUUUGCAAAAAAGUAUAAAUUUUUGGGCUGGGGAUUUAGCUCAGUGGUUCUGCCGUCAGUCUCGCUAGCGCAAGGUCAAGUUUGAUCCCUGGUACCAAAAAAAAAAAAGUAUAAAUUUUAAAAUUGUAAACUAAACCUUAAAGUAAAUGUAUUUGUCUUAAACAUAGAACAAGUACAGUCGUUGGCUUAUAGAAAUGAACUCUGAGGUGUUUAGCUUAUGUCAUGGGGCGGCACACAGCAGCAAAUGGAGUCCUGUUCUCUCUCAUUCUCUGGAGGCAGAGAAAAGAAACAACUCAUGACCUUCACUUUUAAAUAAAGUACAUUUGUAAAGCAAGCCCCAAAGAAUUGUGAUUGUUGUUGAAUUUCCAUUUCUUCACUUGGAUAAUUGCUUAAGUGCCCACAUUAAACAAAUGAGAGGAAAUUAAGUCACUGUAGAGGAGAGACAGGAAACUACUUUCUAUGCCAAUAGAAGAAACUCAUUAAGAAGCAAAAGUACUAUAUUAUAAUGGCUAGUAGUCAAAUAAGAUGGAAGUCAGCAAUAAGAUUCACAUGCUGUAACGCACUUUCACCAGUCACAUCCUAAGAAUACAGUGUUACAGAGCUUCUGUUUGAGCCCUUACGUAGUAAGUUCAGUAAUAAAGUCCAAAGGGAAAAAUAUGAAAUUAUUUUAGAAUAAAGAUAACUAUUGCUAUUUAUAUUAUUUUAGGGAACAACUAAAAUUCUGUAUUAACACUACCUACAAAUAGAAUUAAAUGGAAGCAGUUAACUUGAAUGGUUCACAUUUAAAUAUUGUCAGUUACUCAUCACUGUCUUAAGAAUAAUUCUACCAAGAUUCUAACUUAAUAUCCACACUAAAGGCAAUAUGCUUAAAUGGAAAAAUUCAGAAUUCCUUUAGCAGGUAGAUAAAAGCGGCUCACUAUGGUUCUGGAUCUUCCGAAGCAGCCACCUAGGAAAGGGGAUUGCCCUGGGCUGUGUGGACAGCAGGUGGGACUGAGGCUUCUGUGGUCAGUGGAGGGUGUGCUGGGCCAGCAGAAGCCCUUGGAGGACAGAGUCCCUAGCAAGUGACACCUCCCUUUCCAGGAUGGGGACAGGAUGGGUACUCUUCUCUCAAGAUUGGUCCUCAAAUUGCCUUGCUAACAUCUGACCCUGAAGGAGGACAGAGCCCCAGCCAAGCACGCAGGGUGUGUGUGUUGGGGCACUUGUUUAGGCUGCCUGACAAUCGGCAGGAUUGGCGCGGCCAGUGGACGGCCCUUUCCCGAAACAGGCUCAGCCUGUGGGGGCAUGAGUACACCCAGGUGCCACACCCCACGUCCCUGUUACCAGAUGCUCCUCCGAACCUGCUGUGGAGAAGAUUCUUUGGUAGGGCUCUUGAGCCUCUGCUGCCUGCUUCCUUUACAACCAAUUAUUCUCAAAAUGUGUAGCCUUUAAUUCCUCGGUAAUUUUUGUGUUUCUGUCAUGACGAACUGGCAGCCUCAUGGGCCGCUUCAAGGCCAGCUAAUGUUUCUGCGACAGUUGUGGUCUUUGGCAGUGUCCAGCUUUUCCUGUGCAUGGCUGUUCUGAAACAGCCUGUGUCUCCUGUCUCUCCACAGGAAACUCAUGUUGGUGGACUGUCCUUCAGAGAGUCAUUCUUACCACAACACAGUUCUGCCAGAACUUGGGCAUUUGGCUUUCUACCAUUGUUGUUUCUGACCUCAGUGAAAUGUUUUCAGGUCAUUAAUAUUAUCUGGAAGGACAUUGCUGACUUUCUUACCACUUCAGCAUAUAUUUAGUUUCUUUUCUCUUCAAGAGUUUUGAAAUUAAGAGGGUAACUCAGCCAUUUCAGUUUCUUCAGAAUCCUUUUUAUUUAACCAAGGGACUUCCAUUUUUUAACACAGCUGCAGCGUCCAGCUCCAUGUUCCUGCUGACCACAUCUUCGCCCAUGGUCAGUCUUCUUGGGCCAGGAGCUGGCUGACCUUGGGUGGCUUGGUCUGUCACUGGCAGCAGAGCUGACCUUGGGCUCAGUGGCACCUCUGGCCACACAGUAGCUGACCCCCGUGCUGUCCCGUCCCAUCCAGUGCUGUGUUAUAUUCCAUACAUGCAUCCACUCUUCUGCCCUACAGCUUCUUUUGGAAGUGACUUUAUGUUUUUAGCUUCCUUAGACUACAAUUUUGGUUGAGUCUUAAGUUCUCUUUUCUGAUGUAUUUUGGGGGCUGAUUUAGUUGCUUCUAUUGACAUAGCAGAUACAUUUGAAGCCAUCUCCCCACGAUGAAGCAGUUUCUUUUGCGUGUGCAAAGAUGCCAACAGAUUCUGAGCUUUCCCAAUCCCGUGAGGUUUUGC